rfam:Rattus norvegicus chromosome 17, whole genome shotgun sequence.
GGGGAUUUAGCUCAGCGGUAGAGCGCUUGCCUAGCAAGUGCAAGGCCCUGGGUUCAGUCCCCA